rnacentral:rRNA from 1 species
GAUGAACGCUGGCGGCGUGCCUAAUACAUGCAAGUCGAGCGAACGGACGAGACGCUUGCUUCUCUGAUGUUAGCGGCGGACGGGUGAGUAACACGUGGAUAACCUACCUAUAAGACUGGGAUAACUUCGGGAAACCGGAGCUAAUACCGGAUAAUAUUUUGAACCGCAUGGUUCAAAAGUGAAAGACGGUCUUGCUGUCACUUAUAGAUGGAUCCGCGCUGCAUUAGCUAGUUGGUAAGGUAACGGCUUACCAAGGCAACGAUGCAUAGCCGACCUGAGAGGGUGAUCGGCCACACUGGAACUGAGACACGGUCCAGACUCCUACGGGAGGCAGCAGUAGGGAAUCUUCCGCAAUGGGCGAAAGCCUGACGGAGCAACGCCGCGUGAGUGAUGAAGGUCUUCGGAUCGUAAAACUCGGUUAUUAGGGAAGAACAUAUGUGUAAGUAACUGUGCACAGCUUGACGGUACCUAAUCAGAAAGCCACGGCUAACUACGUG